AACGAACGCUGGCGGCAUGCCUAACACAUGCAAGUCGAACGAGACCUUCGGGUCUAGUGGCGCACGGGUGCGUAACGCGUGGGAACCUGCCCUUAGGUUCGGAAUAACUCCCCGAAAGGGGUGCUAAUACCGGAUAAUGUCUUCGGACCAAAGAUUUAUCGCCUUUGGAUGGGCCCGCGUUGGAUUAGCUAGUUGGUAGGGUAAAAGCCUACCAAGGCGACGAUCCAUAGCUGGUCUGAGAGGAUGAUCAGCCACACUGGGACUGAGACACGGCCCAGACUCCUACGGGAAGCAGCAGUGGGGAAUAUUGGACAAUGGGCGAAAGCCUGAUCCAGCAAUGCCGCGUGAGUGAUGAAGGCCUUAGGGUUGUAAAGCUCUUUUACCCGGGAUGAUAAUGACAGUACCUGGAGAAUAAGCUCCGGCUAACUCCGUG
rnacentral:rRNA from 1 species